rnacentral:piRNA from 1 species
UGGGAUCCCUUAAACCCAAGCACUGCCUUGAC